UGGGGAAUAUUGCACAAUGGGCGCAAGCCUGAUGCAGCCAUGCCGCGUGUGUGAAGAAGGCCUUCGGGUUGUAAAGCACUUUCAGCGAGGAGGAAGGUGGUGAGCUUAAUACGCUCAUCAAUUGACGUUACUCGCAGAAGAAGCACCGGCUAACUCCGUGCCAGCAGCCGCGGUAAUACGGAGGGUGCAAGCGUUAAUCGGAAUUACUGGGCGUAAAGCGCACGCAGGCGGUUUGUUAAGUCAGAUGUGAAAUCCCCGGGCUCAACCUGGGAACUGCAUUUGAAACUGGCAAGCUAGAGUCUCGUAGAGGGGGGUAGAAUUCCAGGUGUAGCGGUGAAAUGCGUAGAGAUCUGGAGGAAUACCGGUGGCGAAGGCGGCCCCCCUGGACGAAGACUGACGCUCAGGUGCGAAAGCGUGGGGCAGCAAACAGGAUUAGAUACCCUGGUAGUCCAGCGCUGUAAACGAUGUCGAUUUGGAGGUUGUGCCCUUGAGGCGUGGCUUCCGGAGCUAACGCGUUAAAUCGACCGCCUGGGGGAGUACGGCCGCAAGGUUAAAACUUAAAUGAAUUGAC
rnacentral:rRNA from 1 species